UUAAAUUGAAGAGUUUGAUCAUGGCUCAGAUUGAACGCUGGCGGCAGGCCUAACACAUGCAAGUCGAACGGUAACAGGAAGCAGCUUGCUGCUUCGCUGACGAGUGGCGGACGGGUGAGUAAUGUCUGGGAAACUGCCUGAUGGAGGGGGAUAACUACUGGAAACGGUGGCUAAUACCGCAUAACGUCGCAAGACCAAAGAGGGGGACCUUCGGGCCUCUUGCCAUCAGAUGUGCCCAGAUGGGAUUAGCUUGUUGGUGAGGUAACGGCUCACCAAGGCG
rnacentral:rRNA from 1 species